ensembl:snoRNA SNORA72 Small nucleolar RNA SNORA72
GUGCAAAUAUUCUCACUGUUCUGAUUUUGUAAUAAUCAGGAUAGGCUAAACAUAUGCUGUAUUAAGACCAUGCAUUUGUCCUCGGACCUAGUUUAUUCUUUAGGUCUGGUUUUAUAAAUGCUGGUGAUAAAC